UCUGCUGCUUUCUUGAAGUCUCAUUAGUAUGAUAUACUCACAAGGAUUACCACCAUACAUAUAGGUUUUACAGGUAAAUAGUAUAUGAUAAGCUAUAUAUGUAUAGGAAGGAGAAGCAGAUUCAAGCAGUUAUUAUUAAGGGAAGACACUGAUCCUCAACUAAUAAUUCCUACAGGAACAUGUAUUACUUUGCAUCUAAGUUCUUUAUGCUUUGGUAUUUCUUUUGUAGCUCCGUGCAAGUAUUUGUUCUGUCAUUAAAAGUUAAAACCCUUCAUUCUAAACUCCCUCUUUUUUUUCUCAGGAGAGAUGAACCGGGAUGACAAAGGAUUUGCAGACCCAGAGCGAAUUCAGAAGCUCGUGAAAAACUAUUCUCAGUUUGUUUUGUUCCCUAUAUACACGUAGCAGGUUGAAUGUGUUGAUGAUUCAGCUGUGCUAAAAAAAUAGAUGAACAGGAUGGCCAAACUGAGGUAUACCUUCUUCUCUUAUCAUGUUCUGAUAGUUAUAUUGAUAAGCAUCAGAAAAAUAUAUUGAUCCGAAUCAGGGAAUAGCUAGAUGUUCAAGGAUCGUUGGCUUGAAGGUCACGACUUUUUUAACGUGUAAUCGAGAAAAAAGAAGACAAAGAAGAUCGUUGAGCAAUACUGGGAGUGGGAGCUUACUAAUGAGGCGCUACCAAGUUGGGUAAGGAUUUAAGACUCCUCUAUGUAUCUCAUGUGCGCUCAGAAUCAAAAUUAUGGAAUCAAUUAUAGAGCUUAUUUCUAUUUGUUGCAGCUUCGGGACUCUAAGGAUGUGACAACAGUGGAGUACAAUGAGUUUUACAGAAUAACUUUAAACACGUAUAUGGAACCGUUAACAUCACCCCACUUCACAACAGAGGUACGUUGGAGGGAAGAGAUAUGUUGGAAUAGUAUAUAUCCAUGAAACAAUCCAAGCAGGUUAUGAUUUGUAUCUGUUAAAAGGUGGUGACACCAUGUUGAUCCACUAAUGAUAUAUUGUUCUUAAACUGUUACUGAUAAUUUUCUUAUUGUA